rnacentral:rRNA from 1 species
GCAUCUUUUUAUUUUUAAAAGACCUAGCAAUAGGUAUGCUUAGGGAAGAGCUUGCGUCACAUUAGUUAGUUGGUGGGGUAAUGGCCUACCAAGACGAUGAUGUGUAGCCGGGCUGAGAGGUCGAACGGCCACAUUGGGACUGAGACACGGCCCAAACUCCUACGGGAGGCAGCAGUAAGGAAUUUUCGGCAAUGGAGGAAACUCUGACCGAGCAAUGCCGCGUGAACGAUGAAGUAUUUCGGUACGUAAAGUUCUUUUAUUAGGGAAGAAAAGAUGGUGGAAAAACCAUUAUGACGGUACCUAAUGAAUAAGCCCCGGCUAACUAUGUGCCAGCAGCCGCGGUAAUACAUAGGGGGCAAGCGUUAUCCGGAAUUAUUGGGCGUAAAGGGUGCGUAGGCGGUUAAAUAAGUUUAUGGUCUAAGUGCAACGCUCAACGUUGUGAUGCUAUAAAAACUGUUUAGCUAGAGUUGGAUAGAGGCAAGUGGAAUUCCGUGUGUAGUGGUAAAAUGCGUAAAUAUACGGAGGAACACCAGAAGCGAAGGCGGCUUGCUGGGUCUUAACUGACGCUGAGGCACGAAAGCGUGGGGAGCAAACAGGAUUAGAUACCCUGGUAGUCCACGCCCUAAACGAUGAGUACUAAACGUUGGAUAAAACCAGUGUUGAAGUUAACACAUUAAGUACUCCGCCUGAGUAGUACGUACGCAAGUAUGAAACUUAAAGGAAUUGACGGGACUCCGCACAAGCGGUGGAUCAUGUUGUUUAAUUCGAAGGUACCCGAAAAACCUCACCAGGUCUUGACAUGCUUUUGCAAAGCUGUAGAAAUACAGUGGAGGUUAUCAGAAGCACAGGUGGUGCAUGGUUGUCGUCAGCUCGUGUCGUGAGAUGUUGGGUUAAGUCCCGCAACGAGCGCAACCCUUGUUGUUAAUUGCCAUCAUUAAGUUGGGGACUUUAGCAAGACUGCCAAUGAUAAAUUGGAGGAAGGUGGGGACGACGUCAAAUCAUCAUGCCCCUUAUGACCUGGGCUACAAAC